rnacentral:rRNA from 1 species
UACGUAGGGUGCGAGCGUUAAUCGGAAUUACUGGGCGUAAAGCGUGCGCAGGCGGUUUUGUAAGUCUGUCGUGAAAUCCCCGGGCUUAACCUGGGAAUUGCGAUGGAGACUGCAAGGCUAGAAUCUGGCAGAGGGGGGUAGAAUUCCACGUGUAGCAGUGAAAUGCGUAGAGAUGUGGAGGAACACCGAUGGCGAAGGCAAUCCCCUGGGCCUGCACUGACGCUCAUGCACGAAAGCGUGGGGAGCAAACAGG